AAACUGGCUGAAGUUCUGGCAGCAGCUAAUGCUCGCGCUGAGAAAAUCAAUGCACUGGAAACUGUUACCAUCGCGUCUAAAGCUGGCGACGAAGGUAAACUGUUCGGUUCCAUCGGUACUCGCGACAUCGCUGACGCUGUAACUGCAGCUGGCGUUGAAGAGCAAACAGGAUUAGAUACCCUGGUAGUCCACGCCGUAAACGAUGUCGACUUGGAGGUUGUGCCCUUGAGGCGUGGCUUCCGGAGCUAACGCGUUAAGUCGACCGCCUGGGGAGUACGGCCGCAAGGUUAAAACUCAAAUGAAUUGACGGGGGCCCGCACAAGCGGUGGAGCAUGUGGUUUAAUUCGAUGCAACGCGAAGAACCUUACCUGGUCUUGACAUCCACGGAAGUUUUCAGAGAUGAGAAUGUGCCUUCGGGAACCGUGAGACAGGUGCUGCAUGGCUGUCGUCAGCUCGUGUUGUGAAAUGUUGGGUUAAGUCCCGCAACGAGCGCAACCCUUAUCCUUUGUUGCCAGCGGUCCGGCCGGGAACUCAAAGGAGACUGCCAGUGAUAAACUGGAGGAAGGUGGGGAUGACGUCAAGUCAUCAUGGCCCUUACGACCAGGGCUACACAACACUAUCCCCAUGGCUGGUCCGGGAGCGUUGCUGGCUGGCGAUCUGGAGUGGACCCGACCUUAUCAGCAACAGCGAUCGCACCGCCCAUGAUGAGCUUGUCAGAAGACUGGCUGAACGGGUACCGAAAGCACGCUUUGCCCAGUCCCCCUGGCAGUGGACCUUAUCUGCACUGAAAAUCCGCCACGAAGCUUUUCUUGAUAAUGUGGAACAGGCACUGAGACAUUCAUCUGCUGGGCGAUCAGUUCAGCGAUUUCCAUCG
rnacentral:rRNA from 1 species